GGUCUGGGACAACCCAGUCUGAUUGUGGGGCUCCUAGUCCUAUGUACACCAUGGAUUGGACCCCUCUUCUCUUCCUGUUCCUCUUUUACUGCACAGGUUCCUCCUCCCAGCCUGUGCUGAUUCAACCAUCCUCCCUCUCUGCAUCUUCUGGAGCAAAUGCCAGACUCACCUGCACCCUGAGCAGCGGCGCUGUAGUUUCUGGUUACCACAUUUCCUGGUACCAGCAAAAGUCAGGGAACCGUCCUCAAUUUCUACUGAGAUACUACUCAGACUCAGAUAAAUACCAGGGCUCUGGGGUUCCCAACCGAUUCGUUGGAUCCAAAAACCCCUCAGCCAAUGCAGGAAUUUUGCUCAUCUCUGAACUCCAGAAUGAGGAUGAGGCUGACUAUUACUGUCUGACAUAUCAUGGCAACAGUGGUACUUACACAGUGCUUAAGAUGAAGGGGAAGUGA